rnacentral:rRNA from 1 species
CCCUUGUCCCUAGUUGCUACGCAAGAGCACUCCAGGGAGACUGCCGGUGACAAACCGGAGGAAGGUGGGGAUGACGUCAAGUCCUCAUGGCCCUUAUGGGUAGGGCUUCACACGUCAUACAAUGGUCGGAACAGAGGGUUGCGAAGCCGCGAGGUGGAGCCAAUCCCAGAAAACCGAUCGUAGUCCGGAUCGCAGUCUGCAACUCGACUGCGUGAAGCUGGAAUCGCUAGUAAUCGCGGAUCAGCAUGCCGCGGUGAAUACGUUCCCGGGUCUUGCACACACCGCCCGU